CCUACGGGGGGCAGCAGUGAGGAAUAUUGGUCAAUGGGCGCGAGCCUGAACCAGCCAAGUCGCGUGAAGGAUGACUGCCCUACGGGUUGUAAACUUCUUUUAUAAAGGAAUAAAGUGAGGCACGUGUGCCUUUUUGUAUGUACUUUAUCAAUAAGGAUCGGCUAACUCCGUGCCAGCAGCCGCGGUAAUACGGAGGAUCCGAGCGUUAUCCGGAUUUAUUGGGUUUAAAGGGAGCGUAGAUGGGUUGUUAAGUCAGUUGUGAAAGUCUGCGGCUCAACCGUAAAAUUGCAAUUGAUACUGGCAGGCUUGAGUACAGUUGAGGUAGGCGGAAUUCGUGGUGUAGCGGUGAAAUGCUUAGAUAUCACGAAGAACACCGAUUGCGAAGGCAGCCUACUAGACUGCCACUGACAUUGAUGCUCGAAAGUGUGGGUAUCAAACAAGAUUAGAUACCCGGGUAGUC
rnacentral:rRNA from 1 species